UACGUAGGGGGCUAGCGUUGUCCGGAAUCAUUGGGCGUAAAGCGCGUGUAGGCGGCCCGGUAAGUCCGCUGUGAAAGUCGGGGGCUCAACCCUCGGAUGCCGGUGGAUACUGUCGGACUAGAGUACGGAAGAGGCGAGUGGAAUUCCUGGUGUAGCGGUGAAAUGCGCAGAUAUCAGGAGGAACACCGAUUGCGAAGGCAGCUCGCUGGGACGUUACUGACGCUGAGACGCGAAAGCGUGGGGAGCAAACAGG
rnacentral:rRNA from 1 species